UGGGGGAAUUUUGGACAAUGGGCGAAAGCCUGAUCCAGCAAUGCCGCGUGUGUGAAGAAGGCCUUCGGGUUGUAAAGCACUUUUGUCCGGAAAGAAAUCCUUGGCUCUAAUACAGUCGGGGGAUGACGGUACCGGAAGAAUAAGCACCGGCUAACUACGUGCCAGCAGCCGCGGUAAUACGUAGGGUGCAAGCGUUAAUCGGAAUUACUGGGCGUAAAGCGUGCGCAGGCGGUUUGCUAAGACCGGAUGUGAAAUCCCCGGGCUCAACCUGGGAACUGCCAUUGGCUGACUGGCAGGCUAGAGUAUGGCAGAGGGGGGUAGAAUUCCACGUGUAGCAGUGAAAUGCGUAGAGAUGUGGAGGAAUACCGAUGGCGAAGGCAGCCCCCUGGGCCAAUACUGACGCUCAUGCACGAAAGCGUGGGGGAGCAAACAGGAUUAGAUACCCUGGUAGUCCCACGCCCUAAACGAUGUCAACUAGUUGUUGGGGA
rnacentral:rRNA from 1 species